UACAGAGGUCCCAAGCGUUGUUCGGAUUCACUGGGCGUAAAGGGUGCGUAGGCGGUCGGGUAAGUCUGAUGUGAAAUCUCACAGCUUAACUGUGAAACUGCAUUGGAUACUAUCCGGCUCGAGGAAUGGAGGGGAGACUGGAAUACUUGGUGUAGCAGUGAAAUGCGCAGAUAUCAAGUGGAACACCAGUGGUGAAGGCGAGUCUCUGGACAUUUCCUGACGCUGAGGCACGAAAGCGUGGGGAGCGAACAGG
rnacentral:rRNA from 1 species